rnacentral:rRNA from 1 species
AACAGUACACAUUUGACAUCUGGUACACAGCCGGGCUGAAUUGUGCAUUGGAUGUGAUUGUUUUGGUGCCGCGUCAUCCACUUCCUGGNACGGCACACNGGGUAAGAUGCCCGUCCAGUUGGGCUCAACGCCUAUGCUGUGCUCCUUCCCUUCGACGAGUCGAUUGGGAUGGCAACUCUGCUCUAAACGGGAGGACCCCUUCCUAAGCUCGGUAACGGGAACGAUACCGCAGACGUCAAGUAUCGUGAUCAUAAGAUGACUUUACUUUGAGGGAAGAGACAUACAUGACGUGAAGUUGUUGAAAGGGAACGGCAUGAUGGCAGACCUGUCCCGGUAAACCAGCCGUCUCUCCGGUGCACUGCACUCUGCUCAGGGCAGGAUAGGAUCAUCUCGUGGACAAGGAGAAAGGAAACGGAACCGUCUCUUCGGGUGUUAUACGCCGCACGCAUAGCCCAGGCGAGCUGAGAGUCGCGCUCCGCAAGGAUGCUGGCGUAUGGGCAACAGCGACCCGUCUUGAAACACGGACAAGGAGCGGUCUAAUGCGAGUGUUCGGGUGGNAAACCCUACGCGGAAUGAAAGUGAACGGAGGUGANAAGUUCGGG